rnacentral:lncRNA from 1 species
GGAAUUUUCAGCAACGGGCAGGAAGGGCUUAAGAAGAGUGGAAAGAAAUGAUGUGCGAUCUCCCAGUGCUCCCCAAAUAUCCCUCACGUUAGUUUGGAAUAAGUAUCAUGCCCACAGAUAAUGACAUGUAUUCUUUCAUUUCAUUCCUAGAUGACAGAAUACAUGUCACCCCACUGAAUGGGAAGACAUUAUUCAUGGACGAAACCACUCAGUCUCCUACUCUGUGCAAGACCCUGGCCUCACCACUGGGAAAGAAACAAAUUUGAACAAUAAAUUUAUGGGUCCUGCUUUUAGAGAACUUCUGGACUAGCCACAAUGAUA